ACCAGGCUAUAGGCACCGGGCUUGUGCCUGCAAAAAAAACCCUCUUUUUACAUUUAAAAUGUGAGUCAGAAAAGCCGUGGCUCGGGCUCAGCCGCUGAUUGGGGGUUGGGAGUCGUGGGUUCUACUCCCAGCUCUGCCACGGCCUUGCUGGGUUGUUAGCCAAGUCAUGACCCCUUUGGGCCUGGGUUUCCCCCUCUGCGGGAAAGGGCUCACCCUACAUACCUGCCUUGCAAAGAAUGUUAGGAGGAUGAAUCAGUUUGUUUGUGUGGGGGUUUGCCACAAAAUGUCCGGAGUCCUUACUUUUUAGUCUGGGCUUGGAUUUAGAACCAGGUAAUAGGCAAACACAACAAUAGGAGUAAAUAGGAUUUGCAAGUAAUAGACUAAUUGCAAUGAAUGGACUCAGCAGUGAAGACAAGCUGAGAGCGCUGAACCAGAACUGAUGAGUGACGGGAGUCAAGCAGUGCUGCGGCACUUCACUCAUUUCCCUCUCGGGCCUUGCUGUGUUCGUGCCCCUCACGCCCUCCCUUCGUACCUGCAACCAGGAGAACAAGACAGGCAAACCUUAGGCCCUGGUGCAGACGUGACCCUGCUGUUACCCGUAUGAACCUGACAGGACGGAGGUUCUUAACAAGACCAACGCAACAAAGACCGAAAAGCCCUGCCUCUGCCUCCCCCGGGCUGUGGGGAGAGGACGUAACCUGGGCUUGGGAUAGUCUGGGUCUAACCCUCAGGUGAACACAGUCUACUGAGGCACCUGUAUUCCCCAGCCUCUUUGAAGUAUUGAUCGUAUUCUGCAGCAAACAAAGCAGAUGAAUAAAGUUGCAGUCAACCUCUCCACUUACGGGUAUAUUUUCAGCUUGUUUAGUAUAAUGGCCUCUCAGUGCAAGACCUUGGCUGGCAAGACAUGUACUACUAGAAUUUUCAUUAGGAUCUUCCUGUGCCCUUCUGAGAGAACUGAAAACUUAGCAGGUUACCAGCUUUCUUUGUGGUCAUUUGAAGCAUUUCAGCUGCUUUGUGGUGACACGAAGAAGCUU